CGAGCAUGCAAGUGCCAAGAGCAGUCCUCCGCGUUUAUCCCAAGGCCCAACCAACGGGAAAGCCGGUGGCCCGACUUCUUCGCAGCGCAGCGUCAGCCACCUUUGUUUGGAGGCUCUGGCGUGCCUGUAAAUCGUCUGCACUGUCGCGGCAAAAGAGACGCCAUGUUUUUAAAAACUUUCUUUCCUUUUUGCCUUUUUUUUGUCGUUGACGUAACAAGACUGGCUGACUGAGGGGUUCGACUUUCGAGCUCCAACUCUUUCCUGUGAGUCAUCUCCCUCCUGUAGGGUCACUAGCGACCCUCUCUCUCUCUCUCUCUCUCUCUCUCUCUCGCUAUAGCAGCAUCUGAGCGAAGAGGAAGAAUCUCCUGAAGCCUCAAGGCUCCAUCAGCUGUUGAUGAGAUAAUGCAUCAAGUUAACACAAUUCAAGAAGUUGAUGCUGUUUCUUAUGGGAAACAACAGCUGGACACACAUUUUCAGCUGUUGGUGGCAAUGAAGAGACCUGAUUCUGGUGGAAAGCAAGGAAUUCCAGUUCGUCUUGUUGCAAACCAUUUCCUGGUUGAAUUUGAUUCUUCCCUGCCAGUGUUCCACUAUGACAUCAAAAUAUCUCCGGCACCAUCAAAAGAGAUCUCAAGGCUCAUCAAACAAAAUUUUGUCGAGGAGAACUCACUUUUUUCUGGCAGCUUCCCAGUCUUUGAUGGUAGAAGAAACCUCUAUAGCCCCAUCAGGUUUCAGAGCGACAGGCUGGAUUUCCUUGUCAAUCUGCCCUUACCUGCCUCCUCAUCCACUGGAUGUUCCAAUAUGACACAGAGGCAUAAACUUUUCAAGGUAAGCAUCAAGCUGGUAUCAAGACUCGAUGGGACAGACUUGAUUCGCUGCUUGGCAAGUGAUGAAGAGCAUCAUGUCCCUCUUCCUCAAGAAUACCUUCAUGCCUUAGAUGUUGUUCUCAGGGAGUAUCCAACCGAGAACUGCAUACCAAUAAACAGGUCUUUCUAUUCAAGGUCAAUGGGGGAGGAGAGGAGCAUUGGUGGAGGAGCUGUUGGAUUGGGAGGAUUCUUUCAAAGCCUUCGACCAACACAACAAGGUCUUGCCCUCAAUGUUAAUUUCUCGGUGGCAGCUUUCCAUGAGAGCAUUAGCAUUAUUCAGUAUCUUCAAAAGCGUUUUAACUCUCUGAGGGAUUUGUCCCAGAGGAAGACAAGAACUCUGAUGGGUGAAGAGAGGAAUGAGGUUGAGAAGGCCCUAAGGAACAUCCGGAUCUUUGUGUGCCACAGGGAUACUGAUCAAAGGUUUAGAGUUUUUAGCUUAACCAGUGAAACGACAGAGAAUUUAAGAUUCGAGAGUAAGGAUGGGGAGUUGCUAAGGGUGGUGGAUUACUUCAAACAGCACUACAACCAUGACAUCCAGUUCCGGAAUUUGCCAUGCUUGCAGAUCAGCAGAACCAAACCAUGUUAUAUUCCAAUGGAGCUCUGCAUUGUCUGUGAGGGCCAGAAAUACAUUAGCAAGCUCUCUGAUGAACAGACCAGGAAGAUCCUUCAGUUGGGCUGCCAGAAACCGAGGGAAAGAAUGGGGAUUAUCAAUGGUCUCAUGCAUGGAGAUGUUGGACCAACAAGUCUUAAAUAUGCAAAAGGGUUUAGGCUGCAUGUUUCUCAAGAAAUGACCAAGUUAAACGGAAGAUUACUUAGUCCUCCCCGGUUGAGGCUUGGCAACAAUGGUCGCGUUAGGGACAUAAUCCCAUCUAACCAGGAUCGUCAAUGGAAUAUGAUUGACAGCCACGUCCUGGAGGCCGUGAGGAUCAACAGAUGGGCGCUCGUAAGUUUUGGGGGCACCCCUCAACAGCAUUCGUGUAUUCCCAGAUUUAUUUUCCAGCUUGCUCAGAGAUGUGAGAAAUUAGGUAUUACUCUAAACCGAAUGACCAUAAGGCGGCCACAGUUUGAGCAGAUUCAAGCACUGAACAAUGCCUCCAGGCUUGAAACCAUACUGAGAGAUGUCCAAGAAGCUGCAUCUGGUAAUCUGCAGCUGGUCAUCUGCGUCAUGGAGAAAAAGCACAAAGGUUAUGCUGAUUUGAAACGUAUUGCAGAAACAAAAAUAGGUGUUAUAAGUCAGUGCUGUCUAUACCCCAACCUGAGCAGGUUGAGUCCCCAGUUCCUGACCAAUUUAGCCUUGAAAAUAAAUGCCAAGGCUGGUGGAAGCACAGUGGCAUUGUUCAAUCCCCUGCCUUGGCAAAACCCCCGUUUGUUUGCUGAUGAUGAGCCUGCAAUGUUUAUGGGUGCCGAUGUGACUCAUCCCCAUCCACUUGAUGACUACAGUCCGUCCAUUGCAGCUGUGGUUGGUAGCAUGAACUGGCCAUUUGCAAAUAAAUACAUAUCGAGGAUGAGAUCUCAAAGGCAUAGACAGGAAAUCAUUCUAGAUCUACAGGAAAUGGUGGAAGAAUUGCUGGAUGAUUUCUGCCACGGGAUCGGCCAACAUCCCAAAAGAAUAAUUUUCUUCCGAGAUGGAGUCAGCGAGACCCAGUUCUACAAAGUGUUGCAGGAGGAGCUGAAGGCUAUCAAAUCAGCUUGUCAGAGGGUUCCUGACUACAACCCGUCCAUAACUUUUGUGGUUGUCCAAAAAAGGCAUCACACCAGACUGUUUCUUGAUGAGCUGAACAGCAAAAUUGCUAACAGUCAUGGAAACAUUCCACCUGGAACAGUCGUGGAUACAGUGAUCACACAUCCAAGGGAGUUUGAUUUUUUUCUCUGUAGUCACUCUGGGGUGAGAGGUACCAGCCGACCAACUCACUACCAUGUUCUUUGGGACGAGAGUCAUUUCAGUUCUGAUGAACUACAGCAACUGAUACACAACUUGUGCUACACUUUUGUUAGAUGCACAAAGCCUGUCUCAUUGGUACCACCAGCUUACUACGCUCAUCUUGCUGCAUAUCGUGGUAGAAUGUAUCUUGAAAGAGCUGUGUCUGCGGCAAUGAGCUCAAGUCCCUCCAGAUUCGCUCUCUCAAGGCCUGCACCUCCAUUGGUGACUAUUCCAUUGCCCAAACCAGAUGACAAAGUGAAGAAGCUGAUGUUCUACUGCUGACACCAUCGGAUUCUUGUAUAUAGCUGGUGUUGUGCCCUUUGUGAACUUGUAAUUCUUUCUAAACUUUAAAGUUGUGUAUUUUACAACAGAUUGGUUCUACCUUCAAUAACCUAAUUUUGAUGAGUCAUUUCCCCAAAAAUGUUGGGGCGACCUUCAAAAGUGGUGACAUGCCGAAAGUUAGUCAAGUUUACCAGUCAGCAAUAAGGAUAUCAAGUUUCACCUAGGCGUCUUAAACGGGUAAAAGUUGGAAUUCCUUUCUGUAAGAUUCUUCAAGCGCUUAUUUAACUUUUAAGGCUUCAUAACGUUCAUUGAUUUGCCUAAAUUGCUAGUAAAAGGUGCAGGAUACUUGUGUACAAGGGCCCAAAUGUUUGGUCUUUCAAAAAGAAAAGAAAAAACACGAAGUUGCAACUUGUGGAUGCAAAUAAAUUGUAGCCUUGAAGGUAGUAUGAAUUACUGAAUGGAUAAAAAUCUUAUGUUAAAUGCGUAGCAAAACACCAGGUAGCAGAGAUUUCAUUGAUGUUUCUUGAAGCUUCAUUUCUUUACCUUUCAUCAAGCAGCAAAUUUCUCAACCUGGUGAUCCAUUAGUAAAUCUGACCACUUAAUUGA